GACGAACGCUGGCGGCGUGCUUAACACAUGCAAGUCGAACGGAAAGGCCCUGCUUUUGUGGGGUGCUCGAGUGGCGAACGGGUGAGUGACACGUGAGUAACCUGCCCCUGACUUUGGGAUAACUUCAGGAAACUCGGGCUAAUACCGGAUAGGAGCUCCUGCUGCACGGUGGGGGUUGGAAAGUUUCGGCGGUUGGGGAUGGACUCGCGGCUUAUCAGCUUGUUUGUGGGGUAGUGGCUUACCACGGCUUUGACGGGUAGCCGGCCUGAGAGGGUGACCGGCCACAUUGGGACUGAGAGACGGCCCAGACGCCUACGGGACGCAGCAGUGGGGAAUAUUGCACAAUGGGCGGGAGCCUGAUGCAGCGACGCCGCGUGCGGAAUGACGGCCUUCGGGUUGUAAACCGCUUUCGCCUGAGACGAAGCGUGAGUGACGGUAAUGGGUAAAGAAGCACCGGCUAACUACGUG
rnacentral:rRNA from 1 species